GAGUUUGAUCGUGGCUCAGGACGAACGCUGGCGGCGUGCUUAACACAUGCAAGUCGAGCGAGAGCCAGUUGAGGGGUAACCCUCGGCUGGGGACAGCGGCGAACGGGUGCGUAACACGUGGGCAACCUGCCCCUGACACUGGGAUAACCCCGGGAAACCGGAGCUAAUACCGGAUACUCUCGGCCGAUCACAUGGCUGGCCGAGGAAAGGUCCGCCGGUCAGGGAUGGGCCCGCGGCCUAUCAGCUUGUUGGUGAGGUAACGGCCCACCAAGGCGACGACGGGUAGCUGGUCUGAGAGGACGACCAGCCACACUGGAACUGAGAUACGGUCCAGACUCCUACGGGAGGCAGCAGUGGGGAAUAUUGCACAAUGGGCGAAAGCCUGAUGCAGCGACGCCGCGUGAGGGAUGAAGGCCUUCGGGUCGUAAACCUACUUUCGGUCAGGGACGAAGCGAUCAGUGACGGUACCUGCAGAAGAAG
rnacentral:rRNA from 1 species